rnacentral:rRNA from 1 species
CGACCGGCGCACGGGUGCAUAACGCGUAUCAAACCUGCCUCAUACUUGGGGAUAGCCUUGCGAAAGUAAGAUUAAUACCCGAUGUUGUUAUGUUGCCGCAUGGUGAUAUAACCAAAGAUUUAUCGGUAUGAGAUGGUGAUGCGUCCGAUUAGGUAGUAGGCGGGGUAACGGCCCACCUAGCCUUCGAUCGGUAGGGGUUCUGAGAGGAAGGUCCCCCACACUGGAACUGAGACACGGUCCAG